UCGAAUUUCUUCUAAUUAGAUAGAAUUGAAAUCUUCUAUUUAAUUUAAUAUUAUAGAUAUCUU
rnacentral:tRNA from 1 species